rnacentral:rRNA from 1 species
CAGCAGCCGCGGGAAUACGAAGGGGGCUAGCGUUGUUCGGAAUUACUGGGCGUAAAGCGCACGUAGGCGGACAUUUAAGUCAGGGGUGAAAUCCCGGGGCUCAACCCCGGAACUGCCUUUGAUACUGGGUGUCUAGAGUAUGGAAGAGGUGAGUGGAAUUCCGAGUGUAGAGGUGAAAUUCGUAGAUAUUCGGAGGAACACCAGUGGCGAAGGCGGCUCACUGGUCCAUUACUGACGCUGAGGUGCGAAAGCGUGGGGAGCAAACAGGAUUAGAUACCCGCGUAGUCCCUGUCUCUUAUAC